rnacentral:lncRNA from 1 species
AGGCCACCUGCUCGGGGAGACUUGUGCCAGACCUCAUCCCAGGGAUGGGCAGGGAGUGAGGAAGACUGGAGAGAAACCAGACAGUCCGAUCUCCCGAAAUCGGUCGUUGGUUCUCCUCCGAGUUGACCACGGAUCGCCCCUCCCCCCAUGCUCUCAGCACUGAUGUGUGGCAGGAGUCCUCGCUGGGCAGAAGGCUCCAGGCAGCACCUGCCAAGAGGACAGUGAAGGGGCGCCCUUGGGCUCAUCUGCGCUCUGAUAAGAAGCGUAUCCAGUUUCCAAGUCUAAAGUGAUCCUGGCAAACUCGGUUCUGUGAUUAGAAGUGCACGGAACAUGGAAAACUAUUAAUGAGCAGAGGAACAUCUUGGUGUGUGGCCCGUGCCAGGGGGAGAAUGCAGUGUGCUCUUAAUGAACCUGACCAAGUUACCGCCAAGCUGCCUGCACCCCGAGAUCUCACCAGCUGUGACCUCACGUCGCCCAUCUGAGUGCUUAGGCAGGAGGGAUGAAACUGUUCUUCUGGCUGAAGAUCACUGCAUGCACUCCCGCAUUGGCGUCAAUUCCCACCUGUUCACGUGGACCUCCCACUUUGCUUCUCCAGCCUAGGCCUCUCCCCUGAGCUUUGGAGCUGUCUGAAUGUUGAAU